GACGAACGCUGGCGGCGUGCCUAAUACAUGCAAGUUGAGCGAUGAAGCUUGGUGCUUGCACCAAUUUGAAGAGCAGCGAACGGGUGAGUAACGCGUGGGGAAUCUGCCUUUGAGCGGGGGACAACAUUUGGAAACGAAUGCUAAUACCGCAUAACAACUUUAAACAUAAGUUUUAAGUUUGAAAGAUGCAAUUGCAUCACUCAAAGAUGAUCCCGCGUUGUAUUAGCUAGUUGGUGAGGUAAAGGCUCACCAAGGCGAUGAUACAUAGCCGACCUGAGAGGGUGGUCGGCCACAUUGGGACUGGGACACGGCCCAAACUCCUACGGGAGGCAGCAGUAGGGAAUCUUCGGCAAUGGACGAAAGUCUGACCGAGCAACGCCGCGUGAGUGAAGAAGGUUUUCGGAUCGUAAAACUCUGUUGGUAGAGAAGAACGUUGGUGAGAGUGGAAAGCUCAUCAAGUGACGGUAACUACCCAGAAAGGGACGGCUAACUACGUG
rnacentral:rRNA from 1 species